GACGAACGCUGGCGGCGUGCUUAACACAUGCAAGUCGAACGGAAAGGCCCUGCUUUUGUGGGGUGCUCGAGUGGCGAACGGGUGAGUAACACGUGAGUAACCUGCCCUUUACUUUGGGAUAACUUCAGGAAACUGGGGCUAAUACCGGAUAGGAGCUCCUGCUGCAUGGUGGGGGUUGGAAAGUUUCGGCGGUUGGGGAUGGACUCGCGGCUUAUCAGCUUGUUGGUGGGGUAGUGGCUUACCAAGGCUUUGACGGGUAGCCGGCCUGGGAGGGUGACCGGCAAAAGAGGGACUGAGAGACGGCCCAGACACCUACGGGAGGCAGGAGUGGGGAAUAUAGCACAAGGGGCGGAAGCCAGAUGGAGCAACGCAGCGGGCGGGAUGACGGCCUUCGGGUUGUAAACCGCUUUCGCCUGUGACGAAGCGUGAGUGACGGUAAUGGGUAAAGAAGCACCGGCUAACUACGU
rnacentral:rRNA from 1 species